UAAGCGGUCGCCGAAAAGCUUCUAAAAGAGUAGGCC
rfam:Marine bacterium AO1-C Bin2_contig__12_len_520866_cov_97.2282_ID_23, whole genome shotgun sequence.